rnacentral:lncRNA from 1 species
CCUGCAAAGAUCCAGGCCGGUGGCGGGGAUCAGGCAGGAUCAGUGGUGGCCCCCGCCGGCGGCCAGCUGCUGCUGGUGCUCGAGGUGGCGACGCUCGUGGGGUAGAGCGAGCAGGUAGCAGAAAAUCAUUCCGCCGAUGCAGACGUGGUAGAGCGGCAUGGAGGAGCUCGUCUCGAUGUACUUCUCGAUGUAGGUGUCGGCCGCCUGGUCCGUGGUCUUCUUGAUGUUCUCCCACGUCAGCCUCGGCUUCAGGUACGCCGGAAGCUCCCUCACCUUCAGCCCCUUGAUCUCGUUGUAGAACGCCCGCAACGCCAUAGCCGCAGAUCCACCGAAACACCGAGAGACCUAGAAAACCCUAACCCUAGCUUCCCUUCCUUGCGCCUUCGCCUUUGGU